GUUGGGCGCAGUGGCACGUGCCUGUAGUCCCAGCUACUCGAGAGGCUGAGGUUGGAGGAUCGCUUGAGCCCAGGAGUUCUGGGCUGUAGUGUGCUAUGCCAAUUGGGUGUCCACACUAAGUUCAGCAUCAAUGUGGUGACCUCCAGGGAGUGGGGGACCACCAGGUUGCCUAAGGACGGGUGAACCAGCCCAGGUUGGAAUCGGAGCAGGUCAAAACUCCCGUGCUGAUCAGUAGUGGGAUUGCGCCUGUGAAUAGCCACUGCACUCCAGCCUGGGCAACAUAGCGAGACCCCAUCUCU
rnacentral:SRP_RNA from 1 species